AUACGCAAUAUAAACUAGUUGAAUGCACAAUUCAUAUCUGUUGAUUGAAUUUAAGGCAUAUAUAAACGCGUUUGUACGCAAUCUCCUUUACACGAAUACUAUAUUUCAAACUUUGAAGAUGAAGUUUCAAUGUGCAUUUAUUACGGUGUUUCUAAUCUGUGUGACAAAUGUUGAACUGGCAGUGAUAAAAGACGGUGACUGUUUCGGUGGGAUUGUAAACUGUUUCGUGGACCCGUGCAGUAGCUUUAUCAACCAUGGCUGCCCUGGUCAUCCGACGGCCGUAUGCCACUCCAACUAUUGUGGUGGGUGCAAUGCCGAUUGGUACGAAGGUGAUGUCAAGGUCAUUUGCGCGAACAACUGACCUCGAACAGAGCUAAAUUUCCCGGAUUUAACAACCAAGAAUUUCAAAUAAACACAAUUGAAACAUUAUGAUUCAUGUAAAGGAGUUACUGAUCAUUGUUGUUCAAAGAUAAAAAUAUGAAAAUGAAA